rnacentral:rRNA from 1 species
ACGGGGCGCAGCAGGCGAGAAAACUUUAGCAAUGUGCGAAAGCACGACAAGGUUAAUCCGAGUGGUUUCUGCUAAAGGAACCUUUUGUCAGUCCUAGAAACACUGAUGAAUAAGGGGUGGGCAAGUUCUGGUGUCAGCCGCCGCGGUAAAACCAGCACCUCAAGUGGUCAGGAUGAUUAUUGGGCCUAAAGCAUCCGUAGCCGGCUCUGUAAGUUUUCGGUUAAAUCUGUACGCUCAACGUACAGGCUGCCGGGAAUACUGCAAAGCUAGGGAGUGGGAGAGGUAGACGGUACUCGGUAGGAAGGGGUAAAAUCCUUUGAUCUAUUGAUGACCACCUGUGGCGAAGGCGGUCUACCAGAACACGUCCGACGGUGAGGGAUGAAAGCUGGGGGAGCAAACCGGAUUAGAUACCCGGGUAGUCCCAGCUGUAAACCAUGCAAAACUCAGUGAUGCAUUGGCUUGUGGCCAAUGCAGUGCUGCAGGGAAAGCCGUUAAAGUUUGCC